rnacentral:rRNA from 1 species
GAUGAACGCUGGCGGCGUGCCUAAUACAUGCAAGUCGAGCGAACAGACGAGGAGCUUGCUCCUCUGACGUUAGCGGCGGACGGGUGAGUAACACGUGGAUAACCUACCUAUAAGACUGGGAUAACUUCGGGAAACCGGAGCUAAUACCGGAUAAUAUAUUGAACCGCAUGGUUCAAUAGUGAAAGACGGUUUUGCUGUCACUUAUAGAUGGAUCCGCGCCGCAUUAGCUAGUUGGUAAGGUAACGGCUUACCAAGGCAACGAUGCGUAGCCGACCUGAGCGCGUGAUCGGCCACACUGGAACUGAGACACGGUCCAGACUCCUACGGGAGGCAGCAGUAGGGAAUCUUCCGCAAUGGGCGAAAGCCUGACGGAGCAACGCCGCGUGAGUGAUGAAGGUCUUCGGAUCGUAAAACUCUGUUAUUAGGGAAGAACAAAUGUGUAAGUAACUAUGCACGUCUUGACGGUACCUAAUCAGAAAGCCACGGCUAACUACGUG